AUGCUACUCCUCACUGCCAGCAGCAAUGCCUUCUGCUGCCUUGUUUCUCUCACCUUCCAGCUGUAUCCUCCCUACUUGUGCGUUUAUACUCUAGGAGUAACAUGCCACUCUUCUCCUUCAGAGCCUUCAACACAUCUUCAGACUGCUGAUAAUUCUCCUCUUGGCCUUGGAACAAAGACUAAUAGUAAAGAACAGAGACUGAGACUUGUCAUGCUGUGUAAAGUCCAAAGGCAAGGACUUUUUGAAGGUAUAGAUUUUUGUAGAAGCUGUGAGCACUGUGAUAGCUCAGGCUGGAGCAAGAUAUUUGCAGAAGGAACUAAGCUCAUAGUAAUACCUUCUGACAAAAACCUUGAUGCAGACAUUUCCCCCAAGCCUACCAUUUUUCUUCCUUCUGUUGCUGAAACAAAUCUCCAUAAGGCUGGAACAUACCUUUGUCUCCUUGAAAAAUUCUUCCCUGACAUUAUAAGAGUAUACUGGAAAGAAAAGGAUGGUGAUAAGAUCCUGGAAUCCCAGGAAGGGAAUACACUGAAGACUAAUGACACAUACAUGAAAUUUAGCUGGCUUACUGUGACUGAAAAGUCAAUGUAUAAAGAACACAGAUGUAUUGUCAAACAUGAGAACAACAAAAAAGGAGUUGAUCAAGAGAUUUCCUUUCCUCCAAUAAAGAAAGUUGCUGAGCCUACAACUUGUUGGCAUGAAAAUGAUGUCCCUGUGCUGCAGCUUCAGUUCACGAGCACCUCUGCCUACUACACCUACCUCCUCCUGCUCCUCAAGAGUGUGAUCUACUUGGCCAUGGUCAGCUUCUUUCUGUUGAGAAGAGCAGCUCUCUGCGGCAAUAAGAAGAGGUCCUAA